rnacentral:rRNA from 2 species
GAGAACGAACUCUGGUAUUGAUUGGUGCUUGCMUCAUGAUUUACAUUUGAGUGAGUGGCGAACUGGUGAGUAACACGUGGGAAACCUGCCCAGAAGMGGGGGAUAACACCUGGAAACAGAUGCUAAUACCGCAUAACAACUUGGACCGCAUGWCCGAGYUUGAAAGAUGGCUUCGGCUAUCACUUUUGGAUGGUCCCGCGGCGUAUUAGCUAGAUGGUGRGGUAACGGCUCACCAUGGCAAUGAUACGUAGCCGACCUGAGAGGGUAAUCGGCCACAUUGGGACUGAGACACGGCCCAAACUCCUACGGGAGGCAGCAGUAGGGAAUCUUCCACAAUGGACGAAAGUCUGAUGGAGCAACSCCGCGUGAGUGAAGAAGGGUUUCGGCUCGUAAAACUCUGUUGUUAAAGAAGAACAUAUCUGAGAGUAACUGUUCAGGUAUUGACGGUAUUUAACCAGAAAGCCACGGCUAACUACGUGCCAGCCGCCGCGGUAAUWCG